rnacentral:rRNA from 1 species
AUGGAGACGCUGCCGGACGACGUUGUCGUGGAGAUCCUGGUCCGCGUGACGGAGGUGGCAGCCCUAUUCCGCUGCACCGCAACGUGCAGGCGAUGGCGCCUCCUCAUAGCUGACCCGUCUUUCCUCCGCCGCCGCUGGCCGGAGGGCGUGAGCCUCCAGUCCUCCCUGCUCGGCUUCUUCGCCUUGCAACAGCCCCGUCAAGAACCAACAGAAGGGAGCUCUACAAUGCCGCUCUUCACCCCGGUGCCAUGCUCCCCCCACCGCUUCAUCGCCAUCCCUGAUCAGCCUCGAGGCGGCCAGGCAGUGGUGCUCGCCUCGCACCGUGGCCUUCUUGUUGUGCGCUUCGUCCCACUCGACGCCAUCAGCAUGUUCGAGAAAAUCAUGAUCCUGGCUGUGUGUGAUCCAAUCGCCGGCACAAGCCGCCCGCUGCCUCCGUUGAAGUGCAGUAGGUCUUUCCGAAUAGAAGGAUGCGCCCUUCUAACUGGUGCGGAUUGUCGCGUGACCAAACGGCGAGGGGCGUCGCCGUCAGUCUACUCGUCCUUCAAAGUGCUAAUCAUCAGUUACGACGGACGGUACAAUCUCCAUGUGCUCGCGUCCAAUGAGUUGAGCUGGAGGACGUCUAGAAACUGGUUUGAACCUGUUGAGUAUGCCGGACGUGUGGUGCCCCAGCAGAUCAACAUCGUCGUGUGCCGAGGCAUGGCACACUGGCUCUUCAAGUACUCGUCAGACUUCUACACACUCAACGUGUGCGCUAAGACCAUGCAGAUGUCUAUAACAAAGCUCCCUCUCACAAGGAACCCCCUCGGCUUCAAGUUUUCAAGUGCACUGCUUAAUGUCACCAACGAUGGAAGUCUAUCGCUGCUUGGUUUAUACAGGGACUGCAGCUGGCUGGAGAUGUGGACACAUGAAGGUGACAACAAGAGUGUAGAUGGCAUGGCAGACUGCUGGCACCAAACCAAGAUGAUUGAGCUAAUACAACUCAAGGAGAGUACGGUUGGCCUGGUGCAAUGCGUGUGCGUGAGCGAGAUGAGCGGUAAACUGCUCGUAAAGGACAAUCAAGAUUGCGCGUACAUUGUAGAUCUCCAAACUGGGGCGAUGGAGAAUGUCACCGACUGGUUUUGCGGCAUUGUCACGAUGGCUGUCCCAUUUGAGAAGGAUUGGCCGACCUUCUUCAUGUCUCGCUUGGCGGGUGGUAGGAUCAAGCGGAAUAAACUGAGAGGAGCUAUAUCGAAAAUUGCUUCCACUUUUUGCAAACCAAUAGUUGUGGCAAUUAUCUUUGGGUUAAUUGUUAUGAGUCUGGAUCAUGAAGAGCUACAGGAAUCUUAA